ensembl:snRNA U4 U4 spliceosomal RNA
AGCUUUGCGCAGUGGGAGUAUCGUAGCCAAUGAGGUUUAUCUGAGGCACGAUUAUUGCUAAUUGAAAACUUCUCAUUUAAGAUUACAUUUUGGAAACCAUUUCCUAUCAGUUCAUUAAGUAAUUCAUUUUUUUAUAAUGGCCUCAU